UACGUAGGGGGCCAGCGUUGUCCGGAAUCAUUGGGCGUAAAGCGCGCGUAGGCGGCCAGAUAAGUCCGGUGUGAAAGUCAAAGGCUCAACCUUUGAAUGCCGCUGGAAACUGUCUGGCUUGAGUCCGGGAGGGGCGAGUGGAAUUCCUGGUGUAGCGGUGAAAUGCGCAGAUAUCAGAAGGAACACCGAUGGCGAAGGCAGCUCGCUGGAACGGUACUGACGCUGAGGCGCGAAAGCGUGGGGAGCGAACAGG
rnacentral:rRNA from 1 species